rnacentral:rRNA from 1 species
GAUGAACGCUGGCGGCGUGCUUAACACAUGCAAGUCGAACGGUGAAGCAGAGCUUGCUCUGUGGAUCAGUGGCGAACGGGUGAGUAACACGUGAGCAAUCUGCCCCUGACUCCGGGAUAACAGUUGGAAACAGCUGCUAAUACCGGAUACGAGCUGCGAAGGCAUCUUCGGCAGCUGGAAAGAAUUUCGGUCAGGGAUGAGCUCGCGGCCUAUCAGCUUGUUGGUGAGGUAAUGGCUCACCAAGGCGUCGACGGGUAGCCGGCCUGAGAGGGUGACCGGCCACACUGGGACUGGGACACGGCCCAGACUCCUACGGGAGGCAGCAGUGGGGAAUAUUGCACAAUGGGCGCAAGCCUGAUGCAGCAACGCCGCGUGAGGGAUGACGGCCUUCGGGUUGUAAACCUCUUUUAGCAGGGAAGAAGCGAAAGUGACGGUACCUGCAGAAAAAGCACCGGCUAACUACGUGCCAGCCGCCGCGGUAA